rnacentral:rRNA from 1 species
AUUGAACGCUGGCGGCAGGCCUAACACAUGCAAGUCGAGCGGAUGAAGGGAGCUUGCUCCUGGCUGCUGUGGCCGACGGGCGGGUAAUGCAUAGGUAUCUGCCUGGUCGUGGGGGAUAACGUCAGGUCACGGGCGCUGAUCUCGCAUCGGACCAGAGGUUGAACGUGGGGGUUCUUCGGAGAACACGCUUUCUGAUGAGACUAGGACGGAUUAGCUAGUUGGUGGGGUAAAGGCUUACCAAGGCGACGAUCCGUAACUGCGCUGAGAGGAUGAUCAGUCACACUGGAACUGAGACACGGUCCAGACUCCUACGGGAGGCAGCAGUGGGGAAUAUUGGACAAUGGGCGAAAGCCUGAUCCAGCCAUGCCGCGUGAGUGAAGAAGGUCUUCGGAUUGUAAAGCACUGUAAGUAGGGAGGAAGAGCAGUAAGUUAAUACCUUGCUGUUUUGACGUUACCAACAGAAAAAGCACCGGCUAACUUCGUG